rnacentral:rRNA from 1 species
GGGCCCGCACAAGCGGUGGAGUAUGUGGUUUAAUUCGAUGCAACGCGAAGAACCUUACCAGGGUUUGACAUCCUGCGAAUCUCUUGGAAACGAGAGAGUGCCUUCGGGAACGCAGUGACAGGUGGUGCAUGGCUGUCGUCAGCUCGUGUCGUGAGAUGUUGGGUUAAGUCCCGCAACGAGCGCAACCCACGUCGUUAGUUGCCAGCAUUUAGUUGGGCACUCUAGCGAGACCGCCGGUGAUAAACCGGAGGAAGGUGUGGAUGACGUCAAGUCAUCAUGCCCCUUACAUCCUGGGCUACACACGUACUACAAUGCUACGGACAAAGGGCAGCAAACUCGCGAGAGCUAGCAAAUCCCAUAAACCGUGGCUCAGUUCGGAUUGGAGUCUGGAACUCGACUCCAUG